UCCCAGCUCCAGAUGGUAAAGAAUCUGUCUGCAAAGCAGGAGACCCAGGUUUGAUCCCUGGGUUGGGAA
rnacentral:tRNA from 1 species